AGCUCCAAUAGCGUAUAUUAAAGUUGCUGCAGUUAAAAAGCUCGUAGUUGCAUUUCCGAGGCAAGGGAUUAGUCCGACCUUUGGUGGGUAUUUAAUCCUCUUGCCUCGUCCUUGAGUGGUGCUUCUUGGUAUUAAGUUAUCGAGGAGAUAGCCGCUCAUCGUUUACUGUGAGAAAAUUAGAGUGUUCAAAGCAGGCUUAUGCCGUUGAAUAUAUUAGCAUGGAAUAAUAAGAUAGGACCUCGGUACUAGUUUGGUGGUUUGAGAACCAAGGUAAUGAUGAAUAGGGACAGUUGGGGGUAUUCGUAUUCAGUUGUCAGAGGUGAAAUUCUUAGAUUUACGGAAGACGAACUACUGCGAAAGCAUUUACCAAGGAUGUUUUCA
rnacentral:rRNA from 1 species